UACCACUGUUUGCAUCAUCCUAAACAAAGAGAGCGGGGAAAAGGGAGGAGAGGAGUGAUACCUUUUCUCUUUAGACCAACAGAACGGGCAGCGAUGAGCAAACAGGAGACAGAGAUGACUAAUUAUCUUCUCCGAAAAAAACAACAACCUGGAAAGAGGGAGACAAAGGCAAAAACUGGCCAACGGUUGCCAGUAUCAAAGCCCUCUUCACCUAAAAAACAACAACCUGAAGGAAGGGAGACAAAGGCUAUAACUGGCCAACGGUUGCACAUAUCAAAGCCCUGCGCUUGCAGAAUCCCAAUGAGCCCAAUAGCUCAUUUAUCAACGAGGCGAUUUCAUAUGCAAGUAGUAGCCCUGCUUCCUGAUAGGUUGGACAAUUUUCUCCUCCGUCCCCAUCACAGCCACGCGCGCCUGCAGAAGGUGAGAUCACCAGCACCAGCAACAGCAGCAGACAAAGCAGUGCACAAGUUGUUAUCCAAUGCCUCAGGAUAGCAGAUGCUUUUCAGUCCCUCUCUCUCUCAUAGAGACAAAAACGCGUUGGGUAAAUAUUGUCAGAGGAGCUUCAGUGCUGUGCAUGCACUACACCUCAGCAGCUGGUGCUGCAACAUGAGCUCAUUAACAAAGGAAGCUCAUUGCAAACAGAGAUGGCCACUUUAUUAGAGGUAGAAGUGAGCUGAUCAGAGGUGCCAGUGCAGUGGGAUAACAAAUCUCUAGUGUUUUGUUUCCUCCCUUUAAAAAGAAAUGCCUGUGCCAAAUGUAACCUUAUAAUUAAAUCUAUAAUAAAUUGUC